rnacentral:lncRNA from 1 species
GACCACGGUCAGACACUGGGAAACGGUCCUGAUGAUGGUCAGCGAUGGUCAAGCAUCGUUUUCCCUUGAAGACCUCCUCAUUUUUAUCACCGGAACAGAUCACCUACCUCCUCUUGGGUUCCCCAGACGGAUCUCAUUGUGUUUUUACUCCCAGGAUGUGAGCAUGUCAAGUGUGCGUCUUCCUUAUGUCUCCACCUGCUCACUGAAGCUCUUCCUGCCGAGGGGAGUCCGUGGGGCUGCAGAUCUUUUGGUCCUGUUGAGCAGAGCCAUGCACGACUCUCUGGGCUUUGCUGGUUUACAAAUAGGAUGCGGGGAAGAAGUGAUGACAAGUGUGUGAAGUUAAGGUUAAGAGGCCUCUUAAGGACAC